rnacentral:rRNA from 1 species
GGCGAAGGGGGCUAGCGUUGUCCGGAUUUAUUGGGCGUAAAGAGCGUGUAGGCGCCACACAGGUCUGCUGUGAAAACUCGAGGCUCAACCUCGAAGCUGUCGGUGGAAACCGUGUGGCUAGAGUCCGGAAGAGGAGAGCGGAAUUCCUAGUGUAGCGGUGAAAUGCGCAGAUAUCAGGAGGAACACCGGUGGCGAAGGCGGUUCUCUGGGCAUGUCCUGACGCUGAGGAGCGAAAGUGUGGGGAGCGAACAGG